rnacentral:rRNA from 1 species
UGGGGAAUUUUGGACAAUGGGCGAAAGCCUGAUCCAGCAAUGCCGCGUGUGUGAAGAAGGCCUUCGGGUUGUAAAGCACUUUUGUCCGGAAAGAAAUGGCUCUGGUUAAUACCUGGGGUCGAUGACGGUACCGGAAGAAUAAGGACCGGCUAACUACGUGCCAGCAGCCGCGGUAAUACGUAGGGUCCAAGCGUUAAUCGGAAUUACUGGGCGUAAAGAGUGCGCAGGCGGUUGUGCAAGACCGAUGUGAAAUCCCCGAGCUUAACUUGGGAAUUGCAGUGGUGACUGCACGGCUAGAGUGUGUCAGAGGGGGGUAGAAUUCCACGUGUAGAAGUGAAAUGCGUAGAGAUGUGGAGGAAUACCGAUGGAGAAGGCAGCCCCCUGGGAUAACACUGACGCUCAUGCACGAAAGCGUGGGGAGCAAACAGG